rnacentral:lncRNA from 1 species
GUGACAGAAAAAGUAAAUAACUACGUUUCAUUACAGUUUCCUGUUUCCUUCUUGAUCCUUCACAAGGGAAGAUUUUCUUUUUUAGAGGUACAGAUUCCUCUUAGUCAAGUCCUGAUUAAAACUCCAGCUAAGACAUUAGUAAGCCUUGGUUAGUGAAGUGGCAUCAGGAAGUGCCUACAUUUUCAUGGCCUGGUAGCGUUCAGUGAAAAUGUUCAUUAACAGACACAGGCCAUUCAGUCCCGAAUCCCAAGACACUGAAGACUCUGUUUGAAUCAGACUCACGGGUUCCUUCCUAGCCACUCUCAGGGACAGGAAUGCUUCUGGUGAAGAAGUUUUCGGUGGUGGUUCAUGGAGCUUCCCUACACCAACUUGGAAAUGGCAUUCAUUUUAUUGGCUUUUGUUAUCUUUUCCUUAUUUACCCUGGCUUCCAUCUACACUACUCCGGAUGACAGUAAUGAAGGUAAAAGAAGACAAAAAGAACAAAGCUCUUUGUGGCUACUGUGUCCUUUUCCCUGCCUAUCAUCUUGCCAUGUGUUGGGAUUUGGUUUGGUUUCUAUCCUGUGUGUGAGGAUAACUUUGUUUUUGUUUU